rnacentral:tRNA from 1 species
GCCCUCGUAGCUCAGCGGAUAGAGCGCCGGCCUCCGGAGCCGGGUGCGCAGGUUCGAGUCCUGCCGAGGGCACCC